rnacentral:rRNA from 1 species
AUUGAACGCUGGCGGCAUGCCUUACACAUGCAAGUCGAACGGCAGCACGGAGCUUGCUCUGGUGGCGAGUGGCGAACGGGUGAGUAAAGUACCGGAACGUGCCCAGUCGUGGGGGAUAACGUAGCGAAAGUUACGCUAAUACCGCAUACGAUCUAUGGAUGAAAGCGGGGGAUCGCAAGACCUCGCGCGAUUGGAGCGGCCGGUAUCAGAUUAGGUAGUUGGUGGGGUAAAGGCUCACCAAGCCGACGAUCUGUAGCUGGUCUGAGAGGACGACCAGCCACACUGGGACUGAGACACGGCCCAGACUCCUACGGGAGGCAGCAGUGGGGAAUUUUGGACAAUGGGCGAAAGCCUGAUCCAGCCAUGCCGCGUGCAGGAUGAAGGCCUUCGGGUUGUAAACUGCUUUUGUACGGAACGAAAAGGUUUGGCCUAAUAAGCUGAGCUCAUGACGGUACCGUAAGAAUAAGCACCGGCUAACUACGUGCCAGCCGCCGCAGUAA